AACGAACGCUGGCGGCAUGCCUAACACAUGCAAGUCGAACGAGACCUUCGGGUCUAGUGGCGCACGGGUGCGUAACGCGUGGGAACCUGCCCUUAGGUUCGGAAUAACUCCCCGAAAGGGGUGCUAAUACCGGAUAAUGUCUUCGGACCAAAGAUUUAUCGCCUUUGGAUGGGCCCGCGUUGGAUUAGCUAGUUGGUAGGGUAAAAGCCUACCAAGGCGACGAUCCAUAGCUGGUCUGAGAGGAUGAUCAGCCACACUGGGACUGAGACACGGCCCAGACCCCUACGGGAGGCAGCAGGGGGGAAUAUGGGAAAAGGGGGAAAAGCCUGAGCAAGAAAUGCCGGGGGAGUGAGGAAGGCUUGGGGGUUGAAAGGCUUUUUUACCGGGGAAGAUAAUGACGGUACGGGAAGAAUAAGCCCCGGCUAACCCCGGG
rnacentral:rRNA from 1 species